rnacentral:rRNA from 1 species
UACAGAGGGUGCAAGCGUUAAUCGGAAUUACUGGGCGUAAAGCGUGCGUAGACGGUUACAUAAGUCGGGUGUGAAAGCCCGGGGCUCAACCCUGGGAGGCGGGUGGAUACUGUCGAGCUCGAGUCCGGAAGAGGCGAGUGGAAUUCCUGGUGUAGCGGUGAAAUGCGCAGAUAUCAGGAGGAACACCAAUGGCGAAGGCAGCUCGCUGGGACGGUACUGACGCUGAGACGCGAAAGCGUGGGGAGCGAACAGG